rnacentral:rRNA from 1 species
ACUCAAAGGAAUUGACGGGGGCCCGCACAAGCAGCGGAGCAUGUGGCUUAAUUCGACGCAACGCGAAGAACCUUACCAAGGCUUGACAUACACCGGAAACUGGUAGAGAUAUCAGCCCCCUUGUGGUCGGUGUACAGGUGGUGCAUGGUUGUCGUCAGCUCGUGUCGUGAGAUGUUGGGUUAAGUCCCGCAACGAGCGCAACCCUUGUUCUGUGUUGCCAGCGAGUAAUGUCGGGGACUCACAGGAGACUGCCGGGGUCAACUCGGAGGAAGGUGGGGACGACGUCAAAUCAUCAUGCCCCUUAUGUCUUGGGCUGCACACGUGCUACAAUGGCCGGUACAAAGGGCUGCGAUGCCGUGAGGCGGAGCGAAUCCCAAAAAGCCGGUCUCAGUUCGGAUUGGGGUCUGCAACUCGACCCCAUGAAGUUGGAGUUGCUAGUAAUCGCAGAUCAGCAUGCUGCGGUGAAUACGUUCCCGGGCCUUGCACACACCGCCCGU